rnacentral:rRNA from 1 species
GCGAACGGGUGAGUAACACGUGAGCAACCUGCCCCUGACUCUGGGAUAAGCGCUGGAAACGGCGUCUAAUACUGGAUAUGUGACGUGACCGCAUGGUCUGCGUUUGGAAAGAUUUUUCGGUUGGGGAUGGGCUCGCGGCCUAUCAGCUUGUUGGUGAGGUAAUGGCUCACCAAGGCGUCGACGGGUAGCCGGCCUGAGAGGGUGACCGGCCACACUGGGACUGAGACACGGCCCAGACUCCUACGGGAGGCAGCAGUGGGGAAUAUUGCACAAUGGGCGAAAGCCUGAUGCAGCAACGCCGCGUGAGGGAUGACGGCCUUCGGGUUGUAAACCUCUUUUAGCAGGGAAGAAGCGAAAGUGACGGUACCUGCAGAAAAAGCGCCGGCUAACUACGUGCCAGCAGCCGCGGUAAUACGUAGGGCGCAAGCGUUAUCCGGAAUUAUUGGGCGUAAAGAGCUCGUAGGCGGUUUGUCGCGUCUGCUGUGAAAUCCCGAGGCUCAACCUCGGGCCUGCAGUGGGUACGGGCAGACUAGAGUGCGGUAGGGGAGAUUGGAAUUCCUGGUGUAGCGGUGGAAUGCGCAGAUAUCAGGAGGAACACCGAUGGCGAAGGCAGAUCUCUGGGCCGUAACUGACGCUGAGGAGCGAAAGGGUGGGGAGCAAACAGGCUUAGAUACCCUGGUAGUCCACCCCGUAAACGUUGGGAACUAGUUGUGGGGUCCAUUCCACGGAUUCCGUGACGCAGCUAACGCAUUAAGUUCCCCGCC